CCAGUCUACUGCCUCAGCCUCCAGAGUAGCUGGGACUACAGGCGCCUGCCACCAUGCCCGGCUAAUUUUUUGUAUUUUUUUUUUUAAUAGCGAUGGCGUUUCACCGCCAGGAUGGUCUCGAUCUCCUGACCUCGUGAUCUGCCUGCCUCAGCCUCCCAAAGUGCUGGGAUUACAGGCGUGAGCCCAGCGCCAGAGAGUAGCACUUUCAAGAGAGCAUCAGCUGCUGGAGGAUGGGGAGGAUCAGGCGGUGGGCAGGGCCAUGGAGCUCCCAAGAGAUUAUGUCCUUUGUCUUCAGCUACCAGGGCUGGUAGGAAAAGAUGAUCAGGUGGGGCAGGGUUCAGCGUGUGUCUGUGCUAAGACUGUCCUUAAGCAGGGCUUGCUGCUGCUGUUCUGGGGGAUGGGGUGUGGUUCCCAGGCCAAUGGAGUUAUGUUCCCAGGGAGAGUAUGGCUGUUUCUGUUGCAUCACACAUGUCGCCAGGGAAGUGGGGGAAAGCCGGCAGCCCCAGGCCUCACCCAGCUCCCACGCAUCCGGUAGCCUGAAGGGCCAGUCUCACUUCCACCAUGUCCCCGCAACAGCACGGAGUGUAUUUUCAGGCAGCCGGUGAGUAGGGCUACAAGCCUCCAGCUGAGAAAGCAAAGCCAACUCACAGUUCCUUGGCUGUCCCGCGGAGCCUGCGGUGGCAAACCACCUCCUUCAGAAGGGUCUGUGGAUUCUCCUGGCUUUUCUGUCCUUGCCGGAGUCCCACUGCUCCCGAACACAUGCCCUGAGGCAGCGUGCCUGCACAACCAGCUUCCAUCUGAACGCUUCAGACAUGCGCUGCAUUCAGGAACAAAAGAAGAAUUUGUAGUUCACAGCCACAUGAGAUAGUCAAGUGUUAAAAGGGAAAAAGAGCUAUCGAAGGCAGGAAGCAAAAUGCCUUCAGAGAUAAAAGGUUAUUCGUGGCUGAGUGAAAAAAAUGGACAAUGAGCAGAAAAUAAUUUAUACUACAAAGUCUUUAGACGUCAUUUACUUGGUAAGACAUUAUAGAAAUAUUUUUGGCCGUUUUGUUUGCUUUAAAAUCCACUUAACUACAAAGUGACUUCACAGUUUAAAAAUGAC
rnacentral:lncRNA from 1 species